AUUGAACGCUGGCGGCAUGCCUUACACAUGCGAGUCGAACGGCAGCACGGGAGCAAUCCUGGUGGCGAGUGGCGAACGGGUGAGUAAUAUAUCGGAACGUGCCCAGUAGUGGGGGAUAGCCCGGCGAAAGCCGGAUUAAUACCGCAUGAGACCUGAGGGUGAAAGCGGGGGAUCGCAAGACCUCGCGCUAUUGAAGCGGCCGAUAUCAGAUUAGCUAGUUGGUGGGGUAAAGGCCUACCAAGGCAACGAUCUGUAGUUGGUCUGAGAGGACGACCAGCCACACUGGGACUGAGACACGGCCCAGACUCCUACGGGAGGCGGCAGUGGGGAAUUUUGGACAAUGGGCGCAAGCCUGAUCCAGCAAUGCCGCGUGCAGGAAGAAGGCCUUCGGGUUGUAAACUGCUUUUGUCAGGGAAGAAAUCCUCUAGGUUAAUACCCUUGGGGGGAUGACGGUACCUGAAGAAUAAGCACCGGCUAACUUCGUGCCAGCCGCCGCGGUAACAC
rnacentral:rRNA from 1 species